UACGUAGGGUGCAAGCGUUAAUCGGAAUUACUGGGCGUAAAGCGUGCGCAGGCGGCUUUGCAAGACAGAUGUGAAAUCUCCGGGCUUAACCUGGGAACUGCAUUUGUGACUGCAUGGCUGGAGUGCGGCAGAGGGGGAUGGAAUUCCGCGUGUAGCAGUGAAAUGCGUAGAUAUGCGGAGGAACACCGAUGGCGAAGGCAAUCCCCUGGGCCGGCACUGACGCUCAUGCACGAAAGCGUGGGGAGCAAACAGG
rnacentral:rRNA from 1 species